AUUGAACGCUGGCGGCAUGCCUUACACAUGCAAGUCGGACGGCAGCGCGGGCUUCGGCCUGGCGGCGAGUGGCGAACGGGUGAGUAACAUAUCGGAACGUGCCUUAGAGUGGGGGAUAACCAGUCGAAAGACUGGCUAAUACCGCAUACGAUCUACGGAUGAAAGUGGGGGAUCGCAAGACCUCAUGCUCUUAGAGCGGCCGAUAUCUGAUUAGCUAGUUGGUGGGGUAAAGGCCCACCAAGGCGACGAUCAGUAGCUGGUCUGAGAGGACGACCAGCCACACUGGGACUGAGACACGGCCCAGACUCCUACGGGAGGCAGCAGUGGGGAAUUUUGGACAAUGGGGGCAACCCUGAUCCAGCAAUGCCGCGUGUGUGAAGAAGGCCUUCGGGUUGUAAAGCACUUUUGUUCGGAAAGAAAUCGUCCUGGCUAAUAUCUGGGAUGGAUGACGGUACCGGAAGAAUAAGCACCGGCUAACUACGUGCCAGCCGCCGCGGUAACAC
rnacentral:rRNA from 1 species